UACAGAGGUGGCAAGCGUUGUUCGGAAUUACUGGGCGUAAAGGGCGCGUAGGCGGUCUUUUAAGUCUUGUGUGAAAUCCCUCGGCUCAACUGAGGAGCUGCACGGGAUACUGGAAGACUUGAGUUCGGGAGAGGGAAGCGGAAUUCCGGGUGUAGCGGUGAAAUGCGUAGAUAUCCGGAGGAACACCGGUGGCGAAGGCGGCUUCCUGGACCGAUUACUGACGCUGAGGCGCGAAAGCCAGGGGAGCAAACGGG
rnacentral:rRNA from 1 species